AACGCACAUUGCGCCCUCUGGCAUUCCGGAGGGCACACCUGUUCGAGCGCCGUCGCAACACUGAGGCUCGGCCUUGCGUUGGCGGACUGCAACGGCAGCCGCCCAAACUUCGACGGCGCCGCCCCGCGGCCGACGAUGCGCAAAUGCAAAUGUCGGUCCGGGAGGUGGCGGCCUUGUACCACAUCAAGCUUGGCCUCGAAUCAGGUGGGGAUACCCGCUGAACUUAA
rnacentral:misc_RNA from 1 species